ACAAUCGGACUACCUGGGGCCGUUGACAUUCGCAGUCAGCGGCCCCAACGAGAGCAUGUCAGCGUUAGUACACUCCUUGCCUAUGCAAGUUACCAAAUUGCAAUGUCAAUGGGCUGCACAAAAUCAUUCGGAAUUGGCAAUUCAAUUCUACCACCAGGUAACAAAGGUUUCCCAAAAGACGAUGCAACUGUCGAGGCACUACCCACGGGUUGAUGGAAGCUAAGGCAACCUCCACACGCCGCACCUAACAUGGGCCUGACAGUUUUUCAUUUCAAAGCUAGCUCGGCUAGGGAGGAUCGUCAAGAACUUUCCAAAACAGAGAGACACAGCAGUAGUGACAGGACACCUUAGCACCCCUAGGUGUUAACGCAGCCACAAUUGUCUUCAAAUGCUGCAGACGCUCCCGUAAUAGCUGCGCAUUGUGGAAAGAUAACUUAGGGUUAUUUGGGAUUAUCGGAGAGCAAUUCCAAGAAGAUGAGCAGUCCACGGAAACCCGCAGAACCAGAUAAAUUAGAGCGGGAUCGUUUCCAGUUUGUUCUACAGAGCGUUAUCAUUGCAGUGCUCUCAUGUAGCGCAAAAUUUGAGGAUUCGAGUAGCCAUCCAUUGCAGGUAAAUCCCGUAGUUGAGUCCACCACUACCAACCGCUGCGUUGGCCUGCUUUGUCUAGUACCGCUCUCUCUCACUCGUUUCAUAUGUCUUCAGAGUCACGUGUAGUCCGGAAUUUCAUUGAAGAAAAGGAAGGAGACCCCGGAAGAAGAAAUAUGUGGAAAUAGUUCAGAUACAUGAAUGUUAUCCUUGGAGACCGAGUAUUGCAAAAAUUAUAUUUCAGUCUCUAAUUUUCAGGGUCGAAUUAUAAUUCCAAUUAUCUUCCACAGAAUGUAGGUUUUUUCAAUGAGUAACAAAGUCAGUUUGUAUUAAUCAUGAAUGGCAUAGUUCAGAUUUAUUUCACACAUAUUUCAUAAUUUAAUAUAUCCUUUGCUGUCACGAUAUAUCUAUGAUACUACUCACGAUUGAAUAAUAAAUAUAUCACCUACCAGUCUAA